rnacentral:rRNA from 1 species
UACGUAGGUGGCAAGCGUUGUCCGGAAUUAUUGGGCGUAAAGCGCGCGCAGGCGGUCCUUUAAGUCUGAUGUGAAAGCCCCACGGCUCAACCGUGGAGGGUCAUUGGAAACUGGGGGACUUGAGUACAGAAGAGAAGAGUGGAAUUCCACGUGUAGCGGUGAAAUGCGUAGAGAUGUGGAGAACACCAGUGGCGAAGGCG